AAUUGAUAAAGACCUUAUAAUGGUCAGUAACAAAUCCUAUACAUUAAGCGGUGGCUCUAAUAUCAAACGUUCUAAUGCUGAUUUAAGGCCUUCACUGUCAAGAGGACAUCCAAGGUCAUUCCAUGGAGUAAAAAGAGUCCCCGAUGAUAUGUUUUCAAUUGAUCACAGAGAGAAGAAUGAAGAUAUAGUUGAUUCUGCUGAAUAUCUCUACUAUAAUGAUAAGAAGAGAAGGAUAGGUUAUGAUGAAGCAUUUUCGAGGGAUAAUGCUGCAGAAGAUAAGCUUCAUGUUCACUCGCCCACUGAAGAAUUAGGAUUUCCUGGAGAUGACGAGUGGUCUUUGAAUGACAGGGUAAAGAGGAAGCAUA
rnacentral:misc_RNA from 1 species